rnacentral:misc_RNA from 1 species
GAUGAAGAACGUAGCGAAAUGCGAUAAGUAAUGUGAAUUGCAGAAUUCAGUGAAUCAUCGAAUCUUUGAACGCACAUUGCGCCCCUUGGUAUUCCGAGGGGCAUGCCUGUUCGAGCGUCAUUACACCACUCAAGCUAUGCUUGGUAUUGGGCGUCGUCCUUAGUUGGGCGCGCCUUAAAGACCUCGGCGAGGCCACUCCGGCUUUAGGCGUAGUAGAAUUUAUUCGAGCGUCUGUCAAAGGAGAGGAACUCUGCCGACUGAAACCUUUAUUUUUCUAGGUUGACCUCGGAUCAGGUAGGGAUACCCGCUGAACUUAAGCAUAUCAAUAAGCGGAGGA